UAAAGAGGGCUGCAGGUCUCUGGCUUAUUGAUGAGUAAGUUCAAAUAUUGAUUUAGUUGGUUUGAAAUUUCAAUUGUUUAAGAUUAUAACAGCAAUUUAUCCAGAAUUUCAACUCAAAUUUCACUUCUGUGUUUAUGAGAUGAAUUUGAUGCAAUUUUGUUGUUUCCAUCCUACAGGGCUGACAAAGGCGAAGAGGAAGCUACACUGCUGGGGUUUUGCAGGAAACCUCCAUAUCCUUUUCAAGUUCCAAAAUUCAAGGAAAUAACGCUAGUGUGCAUUUUGGUCUACACAAGCACCCUCGGAAAUUGCGGGUUAGUGUGGACUUUGAUGGCCAAUCAUCCGGGAAGCUUUUGCAGCAUAACAUUGUUGCUCUUGGUGUUUAAUCUUCUGUGACAGAUUUUUAGGGCAUCCUCAACUGGCGGAUCAAAACAAAAUUAACCCAAGAUUUUAGUUAUAGAAACUCUCCAUGGAAUUACCCAAAGGACGGGAAAUUUGCAGAUUGUGAACCAGAUGAUCCACUCUUUAAUCUCAAUUCAAAGAAAUCACUCAAUAGGUUGGUAACAUAUACUCUGAUCAUACCAAUUAAUGACAUGAAACGUCAUUGGCUAAUAGCGAAACAUCAUUUGGAUUAGAGA
rnacentral:lncRNA from 1 species